rnacentral:rRNA from 2 species
AUCUGCAGUCGAACGAACUCUGGUAUUGAUUGGUGCUUGCAUCAUGAUUUACAUUUGAGUGAGUGGCGAACUGGUGAGUAACACGUGGGAAACCUGCCCAGAAGCGGGGGAUAACACCUGGAAACAGAUGCUAAUACCGCAUAACAACUUGGACCGCAUGGUCCGAGUUUGAAAGAUGGCUUCGGCUAUCACUUUUGGAUGGUCCCGCGGCGUAUUAGCUAGAUGGUGAGGUAACGGCUCACCAUGGCAAUGAUACGUAGCCGACCUGAGAGGGUAAUCGGCCACAUUGGGACUGAGACACGGCCCAAACUCCUACGGGAGGCAGCAGUAGGGAAUCUUCCACAAUGGACGAAAGUCUGAUGGAGCAACGCCGCGUGAGUGAAGAAGGGUUUCGGCUCGUAAAACUCUGUUGUUAAAGAAGAACAUAUCUGAGAGUAACUGUUCAGGUAUUGACGGUAUUUAACCAGAAAGCCACGGCUAACUACGUGCCAGCAGCCGCGGUAAUACGUAGGUGGCAAGCGUUGUCCGGAUUUAUUGGGCGUAAAGCGAGCGCAGGCGGUUUUUUAAGUCUGAUGUGAAAGCCUUCGGCUCAACCGAAGAAGUGCAUCGGAAACUGGGAAACUUGAGUGCAGAAGAGGACAGUGGAACUCCAUGUGUAGCGGUGAAAUGCGUAGAUAUAUGGAAGAACACCAGUGGCGAAGGCGGCUGUCUGGUCUGUAACUGACGCUGAGGCUCGAAAGUAUGGGUAGCAAACAGGAUUAGAUACCCUGGUAGUCCAUACCGUAAACGAUGAAUGCUAAGUGUUGGAGGGUUUCCGCCCUUCAGUGCUGCAGCUAACGCAUUAAGCAUUCCGCCUGGGGAGUACGGCCGCAAGGCUGAAACUCAAAGGAAUUGACGGGGGCCCGCACAAGCGGUGGAGCAUGUGGUUUAAUUCGAAGCUACGCGAAGAA